rnacentral:lncRNA from 1 species
GCCCGUACUGGCAAUCGGAGGGAGAGAAGAGAUGGGAAAAGUUGGUUUAGCGCCAGUUAUUGGGAUGAUGAUGGCAGAGUGCGCUCAAGUUGGGCUGAUGUUUGCCGGCAAAGCAGCCAUGUCUGAUGGGAUGAGCAACCUGGUCUUCGUUUUUUACUCCAACGCAUUCGCCUCUCUCGUUCUCCUCCCCGCUUCACUUCUCUUCCACAGGUUACUUAUCCUUCGUUAAUCUCAAAGAUCAAAGCUUCUCAUGUUUUAAUCAAUUCAUCAUCUCUAUGCAGAUCACAAAUUCCUCCACUCACUUUGCCUAUUCUAUCUGCUUUCUUCCUACUUGGCUUUCUUGGGUAUGCUAAGUUUUACUUCUUUGACCUUGUGGCUGGUUUCUUUUUGUUUGAUUAUAAUAAAUUUUCUUGCUUUUACUCAUUCACAUGCGGCAUAUACUGUGUCACAGUGUUAGUAAUAAUCAAAGAUGUUGUUUGUUAAAGGGUUUGUUGUUUUAUUUUACUUCAAGCAGUACUUCGUCUCAGUUUUUUGGCUACGCUGGGAUUUACUAUAGCUCACCUACACUUUCCACGGCUAUGCUUAAUCUUGUUCCGGGUUUUACCUUCAUUCUUGCCAUCAUUUUCGGGUAAUGUUCCCCCCUUUGCUAUGAUCAUUUUGACUUUCUCUUGAUUUUGUUCAUUGGAGUCUGUUUAGGAAGUUUAUGUUACUGAUGCAAAUUAAUUGCAACCAAUAAUAUAAUCAGUUCUCUUUCUCUUCAUUUGUAUGAGUGUCUGAUUCACUACUUCAAUUGCAUAAUUAACUUUUGUGAGCCCCAAUUAUAGGCUUGCAAUUACAUAUUAGACAUACUGCUGAAAUUUGCUAAGAGUGUAUUCCAGUUACAAAAUAAUGAUUAUCCAGUCUGAUUCGUGGAUUAGAGUAGUAUGCUAUUUGUAAUUAAUCCACCAUGCAAGGACAAAUGGGUUCCUGUCUUUCCCUCCUUAAUUAUUCAUUCUUUCAGACAUCAAUACUUGAUGUGGAAAAGGUUUUGCACCCAAUCAAUCAGUGACUGCAGUUUGGAGUUAGCGAAGGAAUUUCAAAAGAGCUGCUGAUAAUUAGACAGAUCUAAUGUUAUUGCUGAAGUUGCACUAUGCCUUUUAAGCUAUUAACAAGGGGCUGAUGAGUAUGAGGUCACAGAUAAGCUGAAAUCGCUAUGUUGGUCUUGCAGCUUAGACAAUAUGUCCUUAAGGGAGAAGAUACUCAAGCUCUUGUUCUGAUUCUGACCCAAGCUUUACCUAUACUGUUCUAGAAAACCAAAAUCCUCUUACUAUUCUGUUAACAUACCUCUUCUCCAUUCCUAUUUAUCUUACUACACUGUGGAUGUGGUACAUGCCCCCUCCCAGUUUAUUAAAAUGAAAAAUGCAUGUGUGGAUAAUCUGCCCCAAAGAGUUAUAAUCAAUUCAGCACUGAACUUAAAGGAACCAUGAUAUGUGAUGUCUUCCAUUCCUUAAGUCUGUUGCAAGAGAUUUGCUUGCUGUAGAAUUAAAGUGGCAAUGCAGGUGGGUCUGGCUUUUAAAGUUUCGCGGCCUUCUCCCUUCUAUUGCAAAUUUGGGAAUGUAAUAACAUCGAGGAGAAUUAUUUGAUCUGCUGCCUCAGCUGAUGAAAUAUAAUAGGUCUGUAUGUGCAUUAGCGCUGAUGUUGAAUUUGCAAUUACUGUUUAGUUAUGGUCAUGAGACUCAUGACUCAAUUAUUGAUAGAUAUUGUUAUCUUUGAAAUACUGGCAUUUAGGCAUUAUGGUUUCUUUCCUUAAGAUGGUCUUCAAGGACAUUAUUUAAGGGGGGUUAGUUUUGCUACUAAUUUAGUGACUUCUUCUGUGUUGCUAAUAAUUUAGAAACAAUGACACAGCCACAAACUCUUUUACUAACAAUCGUUUUACAAACUGAUGCGGCAUAACAUGAUUUGUUGAAUAAAAUCACCACGUGGCUCCAUUAAUUAUUUUUAUUAUUCUAUAUUUUCAUUCAAACAAUCAUAUUGUGCCACAUUAGUUUGUAUAAAAAUAGUUUGUGGUCAUAAUGUUACUCCUAAUUUAGUGGAUUCUUUUGUUGCCCAAAAUCACAUCUUUUUGUUUUUUCUUAUUUGAGCUCCUCUGAUAGUCAUAUCAUCUGAAGAGUUCUUCAGCGACUGGAUGGUUGAGCUACUUUUAGUUUCCUUUCUCUGUCAGACUUUUCUAUCUCAAAAAGUUUUGACUCUUGUUUUAAUUAAUGAAUGUGCUAAGUAUGGUAGAAAACUUUGGAACAGAAAAAGACUCCUAAGUUGCUUAGAGUGAUAUUUUUAUUGCUACUGAUGGAUAUAAAAUGAUUCAACUUGGUGAUUUCAGGAUGGAAAAACUAGACUGGAAAAGCUCCAGUAGCCUAGCCAAAUCAGUGGGAACCAUAGUGUUAAUUACAGGGGCAUUUAUCAUGGCAUACUGUAAGGGACCCCACCUUCUGAUGACAUCUUCGCCUCCAAACUUGUCCCUUCAAUUUUUCGUGCCGCAAACAAACUGGGUCAUUGGUGGAUUGCUCCUUGCCAUUGAUUGUGUGUUCACUUCAGCAUGGCUCAUUGUACAGGUUAGAUUCUUACGAAAUAGCGAGAGUGAAAACCAGUUAUAAGAUUGAUGUCUUUUUCGUAUAUUUCAGGCCUCAAUCCUUAAGAAAUUCUCAGCUGAGCUGAUCGUCGUCUUUUUUUACUGCUUCUUUGUGGCCAUUCAAUCUGCAAUACUCUGUUUGGUUAUGGAAAGAGACCUAAGUAGCUGGAGCUUAAAACCUGGUGUGAGGUUAGUUGCUGUGCUAUACUCGGUAAGUAGAAGUAAAAAGAAAAAGAAUGUUUUAUCUACAUGCUUAAAUUAUAUUCACUUUUUGUCUUGAAACCUUAAUAUGGAAAAUGCAGGCUGUUUUUGGCUCUGCAUUCCAAGUUGGUGUUUGUACCUGGUGCCUGCACAGAACUGGGCCUGUAUUUGUAGCUAUGUUCAAGCCCUUGGGUAUUGUAAUUUCAGCUGUGGUGGGCACCAUCUUCCUAGGAGAGACAGUCUACCUUGGGAGGUACAUUUUUUUUUAAUUUUGGGUGGUGUUUUGACUUGUAUAAGAAGUUUUGUUUGAACAUGUUACUGGUCAGAUUUCUCUUAUUUCCUGUCCUGAUUUUCUCCUCCUCUUCUAUUAUAAGAAAGUGAUCAUUCCAUUUUUAAUGUAAUGCAGAUUUAUUGGAGCAGCUGUAAUUGUUACUGGUUUUUAUUCUGUGAUGUGGGGAAAAGCCAAAGAAGGGAACUCAGGUGUGGAAACUGGAGUAAGAAGCUUAGAAUCAAGCAGCCAAAAGGACCCCCUCUUGCAAAACAACUUUGAAGAAACAUAAAAGUUUUGCAAAAGAGAAAAAGGCCUACAGAAAAAAAUUGGUAAUUUUCACCAUCUUUAUCUGGAAAAUAGAAAGAGGAAAAUGUUUAGGAACAUUUAUCUGGAAAGCUACCUCUGUGCAGAAAUUAAGGUUUGAGCUUAAAAUGGACUUGGUUUUGCUUAUCUUGAGGNNNNNNNNNNNNNNNNNNNNNNNNNNNNNNNNNNNNNNNNNNNNNNNNNNNNNNNNNNNNNNNNNNNNNNNNNNNNNNNNNNNNNNNNNNNNNNNNNNNNAAGUGGACCAGCUCUAGAUAGCUUUCAUCAUUCAUCCUUUAAAAUGUUCUACCUUUAUAUAGACAGUCCUACAGCAUUUAAUCCAUGACCUAUGAUACCACUUCAACCAUAUACAUAUUUCUUUUUAUUAGAAAUUAUGGGUCAACAUGCAGAAUGUGAAGAUAAUUUCUGUUAAUUUUUGGCGCCUCUGUUCAUGAGGAGACAAUUAAUGCCUGUCUAUCCUUUCAAGUUAUUGAAGGAAUGGAUUAUAAUCUUCUCUACAUGAAACAUUUUUUUUUGUUUAAUUUUGUUGCCAACGCAUUGAAAACCUUUUGUGUAAUGCUUCCUGUGAAUUUGUCAUACAGAAGAUCAUAUUCGAUUUAUUUUAUUUAAGACAUUUUCAAGUUCAACUUCCGAUUAUUAUUGUUAUUGUUAUUGGUAAACCUGAAGGUGGGCAAGAAGACUAUCAAGAGUAUGUAAAUGCGAGUGACAUGAAGACUUUGUUUUCAAUUGUAAUAUUGAGUCAGGAACAUGGGCGGCACCAUCAAGUUUGUGACGCUGCAAAGAAAAGUUGAGCUUUGGAGUUGGUCAAAACUCAAUCAAUCCUGCUCUGCAUGGAAAAGAUUGUUGUGACAGAUUAAGGAAAGUACAGCGCUAACUCCUAUGACUCAAAUUACUCUCUCAAGUGUAAUUAAGAAAAUGAAAGAUUGUUUAUGUAUUCAUAUCUCAUUAUUCCAGACAAUUUAUGCGAGUUUGACUUGCAGGCACAUGCGAAUGGAUAUGCUUUAUGAAGAAAAAUCAAAUGCAUUUCUUAUGAGUGAGUUUCAGUCUCUGAAAAUAUGAUAUUCAACCACUGAGCCUCUGAUUCAGAACCUAAAAAACUUUGUUAGUCGGUACUGGUGUCAAAGGAGAAUGCUUUAGCUGGCACAUUCUAUACACCAUGGAGAUCCAAUCCUUUUCAUAUUCUUAUUGUGAGGGUCAAAGCCUUUGCUAAGAUAUCACAGCAACUCCCGAUGUCUGAUGUCAAGUGAAAGCGCAAAUUCUUCUGUAGAGUCGAUGGAAAAAAACAUUAAAGAUAAAAAUGAAAGCCUCUUGCAAGCAGUCCUUUUUGAGAAUUCCAAAAGCAUUUUCUGAUGCUAGUGUGUGCCGGUUGCCCGUGAUGUUAACUCUUUUGAGAUAAACAAGUGCCAUGCUCUUCUCUGUCCCCGGCAUGGAGCGUGAUCUACGAAGUUCAAUCACCUUUGAUGCAUUGAGCCAGACAGAACCAGACAUCACUAAAUGCCACCAACCGAAAGGAGAAAUUAAACAACGAAGCUAAUUAAUGCUCAUGAUCUAAGCUUAAUUAUAAUGAAUGGUUAAGAUUUAUCAAAAGUUAAGGAUUGAUCAUCAAUUAAUUAAUUAAUUGACUCUUUUGCCACUGAACUUGUAACUAGUGAUAUAAUCAUAUAAAAGUAUGAGUUCGAGUUUUAGAAGGCUCACUGUUAACCUUCGACUAAAAGAAGAUAUCUAUCUAAAUAUUAGUGAGAGAGAAUUUUUAAAUUAAUGUAUAAUAGAUUUUUGAACUGUACUGAAAAAUGUGUGUAUAGAGAGAAAGGGGACUGUAACAGAAUCCGGUUGACAAUAUACGUGUAAAUUGUAAUAAUUUGAAAAACAAAAAAAAAGUUAAUUGAAUAUUUUCUUGGACAUUAAUUAAUGCAACAAAUUAUGGGUCCAGCACACGGGGCUGUGUGUGAUUCCAUCUAUGCACACUUCACUGUGUCCGGCAUCAAGUAUCAAAAAGAAAAGAAGGCUUGCGUAUCAGCACUAAUACAAAACAAAAGUUGAGUGGGGGGCCAAGACCUUUCAAAAUAAUCGAUGAGGGUAGGGACAUUGUUAAUGUCCACCACAAAUCGUCCCUCAAGAAAGUACAAAACAUGCAUAUACUGGCCCCGCACUUAAUUUAAUUAGUCUUGAACAUGACCAAAUAUAGUAAAAAUAUUCACGAUUAAGGGCAAGGACAAAUCAGAUGAAAACAUUCACGUCACAUUAUUAUUAAUCUCUAAUUAAUUGCUUAAGUUUUAAUAUUUUUUUACCAAACCACGUCGGCUUAUUCUCCCUUUGCAUAAAGAUUGAGUCACUAAAUCGAGUAGCUAUUUCUCGUACAAAGACAAAGUAGCUUCACAACUUUCUGAAAGGCUAUCUCUCUCUGUCAUUCUCCAAUUCUCAUUGUGGAAGCUCUUAGUUGGUGCAUUAUUUUUUGACUGUAAAUUAUAUCAGCAGUCAGCUAGUCAUCAGCAGGCUCCUAGCUAGAUCAAUUCCUUCACUCAUAAAUAUAUACGAGAGAGAUAGCUUGUUGUACAUGCUUCAUUAGACAAAUUAAUUAAAGAGUGAAAGAUAACAGAGACACAUACGAUCGAAUUAUAUAUGAUGGGACUAGUGAGAGGACAAAUGGAGGAGGAAAUGGUGCCAUUUACAUUGAUGGUGAUAAUGGAAGGUUGUACAAUAGGGCUUACUAUAUUGACCAAAACGGCCAUGAAUGGAGGAAUGAGCCCUUUUGUUUUUAUUGCCUACACAAAUGCUCUUGGAUCCAUUCUUCUUCUUCCUUGUUCCUUCUUCUUUCAUCACCGCGGGUCUGAGGCUGCGGCUGGGGGGAGGUUGUUACACAAUAAUCACCCCUCUUUCUCCUUUUUAAUUCUUCAUGUUCCAUGUACAACAUAACAAUAAAUUUAAUUUAAUAAUAUUUCAUUAUAUUAAUAUAAAUAUCGUCGAUCGUCUGCCAUUAAUCUUUUUAAAUUAAUUUUGCUUGCUGCAGAAUAGAGCAGCCACUCUUCACCUUACCUCUUAUGCUGCGCUUCUUCUUCUUGGGCCUAACCGGGUUUGUAUAUUUCAUAGCCUCCCUUAAUUUUGUUUCGUUUUAAUUCUUUAACACUGCUACUGAUGGAUACAUAUUUCGUUCUAAUUAAUUACUUUCUGCCUUAAUAUAUGUUUUUGCUGCAGGGUAGCUAUUUCUCAGAACCUUGCAUUCUUCGGCUUGUAUUAUAGUUCGCCUAUCGUUGUGUGCGUGAUGGGCCUUUUGAUCCCUGCUAUCUCCUUCUUGCUUUCGAUCAUCACUAGGUUUUUCUCUUUAGCUUCAUUUACAUACAUACAUACAUUUCCUCUGAAUUAAUUAUUCUUUUUCUCAAAUCAUCAUGAGCACGGGAUGAUAUCAACCAAUUUGAGAUCUUGAUAACAUAUCUUUGUUUUGAUGAAUUUUUUACAUGAAUACACUAACUACGUACCAUCUAUGCAUGAUCCAAAUCUAUUUCUCUGUUGCACUAUAUUUAUUUUAACAUCACUUACUUGUAUUAUUUUGCUCGUAUAUAUUAAAAUCCAGAUCCGAAAAAAAUUCUUGCUGAACAUAUAAAAUAUCGGCACCAUGGGCCAUUUCUAGUGGCGUUUUAGACCACCUAUUGGAACAAUUUAAUAUUUAUAUAUACUAUAUAGUUCUCCUGUUUUGGGCUUAGCUUUAAUUAUAGAUGUCAACUUGGCUAUGUGUGGACUCAAUAGAGUUGAGUCCGAAGCGACCAUCAUAAAUAUAUUUGGACUACCAUAUGAUAUUUGGACAUGUAGAGUAUGGUUGUAACUCCAAUAAUGAUAAUAAUAAUAACGUAAAUCCCAGGACAACAAAACUAGAUUGGAGAAGCUCAAGCAUCCGAGUCAAAGUAAUUGGCACCUUGAUAUCGAUCAUGGGGGCUAUAUUUGUACAGGUGUACAAAGGCCCAUCCAUGAGAAAAGCUGCUUCUGAUGAUAAACUUGAAGCAAAAAUUAAUCCACCACUCCUCAUUUUCUACUCAACACCAGACCGUUGGGUCCUUGGUUCCACUUUGCUUGCGGCUUCUUCUUUAUCUGUCUGCGUAUGGAACAUUAUUCAGGUAAAAUUAUUAAUUAAUAUCAUAUUUCAUUGAUCUUAUGAUCAAUUCAUUCUCGUUAAAAUCGACCACAGAGACAAAAGCGCACUGAAUUUAAUUGUGUAAUUCGAAUUAAUUUGGUCAGGUGGGAACUAUCAAACAGUAUCCCCAAGUGAUGAAAGUGGUCUCUUUUUAUAGCUUGGCUGGGACUAUUCAGUGUUCAAUUUUCUCGCUGAUUAUGGAGAGAAACAUCAAUGCUUGGAAAUUAAAGCUAAACAUGGAGCUUCUCCUCAUUAUUAUAACAGUAAGUGAUUCAAAUAUAAUUACCAAAAUUAAACCAAUCACUCCAAAGAUAUUAGUGUGAGCACCUCUUUUUUUUUUUUUUUAAAUAUGAACAUGUUAUUAAGUCAUGUGGUUUAAUAGCAUUAAAAUCUAAAUCUAUUAAACUACACAGCUUAAAAUGUGUCCGAAUAAAUUAAAAAAAAGGACGCCUAUAUUAGAAAAUGGCUAUAUAUAGAUAAUAUGAACUUAAUUAAUUCCCUUAUUUUUAAAGACACAUAUGGUUUGUUAAUCGUUACAGGCAAUUUUUGGGAGUGUCAUUCGUUGCACCGUCCAUGUCUCGUGUGCCGAAAUGAAAGGCCAUCUUUACGUGCCCAUGUUCAAACCAUUUGGAAUUGUUUUUGCCACAGCUUUCGGUUUAACCUUCUUUACAAAUUCUCUCCAUUAUGGAAGGUAAUACUUAAUAUAGCAUAUCGUUUAUAAUUUAUCAAGCAGAUGACAUGUCAGAAAAUGUUAUAUAUGGAACGAGUAUACAUAUAUUUUCAGCACAUAUAUAACAUGUUGUAUUAUUUACUGAAUGAAUUAUUUAAAUAAAAUAAAAUUAAGUUUAAUUCUUUCAUAAUUUAAAAAAAUUACUAAAGAUAGCCAUAUACAUAAUGGCUCAACUAAUCCGGAUUCGAGGUGUAGUCACAGUUAAGACUCUUUACCCCUUCCAAAUGGUGUGUUUAGUGGGGAUCAAACCCGAGAGUUCUUCCCACAAACUCAGCCUGCGCUGUCAACUGAGCCACAACCAUUUGGCACAUGAUGGUUAUUCUUAAUCUUGUUGGGUGUCAAACAAAUUAAUCCCUCCAAUUAACAGAUGAAGUGAAAUGCAUGCAUGUACAGUGUGAUAGGAGCAGUUAUAACCGGAAUGGGCUACUAUACUGUAACGUGGGGAAAUAUCAGAGAGGAUGAAUUACUGCGUAAAGGCCAUAAUUCUAAAGAUGCUGCUGACGAUCAAAAGGUCCCUCUCUUGCAAGAAGAUUCGCAAGUCUGAAGAAGCUCUCUGCAAUUUGAACAUGCUCAAAGCAAAACUUUAUUCAAGCUGCUUUUUCGAGUAAGUAUAAAAUUCGAUCUGCUACAUAUAUAUAUUAAAAUUUUGACAUGCACCAGAAUUUAUUAAAUAAUCUAAUACGUUCCUUAACUAUUAUUGAUUAGCUUGUUUUUUCACUUUCUAGUUGGCUUGAGUUGAGGGAGAUUCAUCAAGCCCUGUUGUAUGAUACGGAAGAAACAUGCGUACCACCUGUGUAUCGACCAAAAAUUUUAGAGUUUGGGAAGAUUGGUGUGUUCAAUUGUAGAUAUUUGGGUGAGAGAAAUGAAAGAAUAACAUUGAAGGAUUUUGCAGCAGGUUUUUUUGGUUUGUGCAAGGUCCUCUUGAUGUACAUAUUUUAAUCUUUGUGAAUUGUGAUUGAAUGAAAUUUUUCUCUUUUUUUUUUCUCUCUCUCUCUCUCAGCUAGCUGUUACUUGCUACGUACAACCGCUCUGCCAAACACCUUAGAAUUUUAACAGAGGAUGAAUUAGAAAUUUUGAACUCAAAUUUUCAUUUUGAUAUGUGAUUUGUCUCUCAUUAGGUAGAAGAUAAAUUUUUGUAAGUUUUAAGUGAAGUAUCACACAAUCUCACUAUUUAUUAAAUCAACGUCACAUAUAUAUAUAUAAAGCUGGGACUACAAGAGGUGAUGUGACAUCACCAUUUCUCAUAUUUGUAUAUUCUCUAUUAUCUAACAAAUAGAGAAAUUUUCUUUCAAAUUUGGCUUUUCAUCUUCUCAUAAUUAAUUUGACUGUUAUUACACAAUCGAUAUGUAACAGUUUAUCAAAAGACUCAUUAUUUUCUCUAAUUGAAACCUUCUUGAUCAUAAAUUAAGCAAUAAUUUAUAAACAUUUUUAAUCACUCUUCUCCUCUACCUCACCUUAAUUUAUAAAUAGCAACAAAAAAUAUGAUAUCCCACAUAAACACAACAUAAAAGAACAGAAAAUAGCAAUGGCUCUAAAACAUGUGUUUUUCAUUUUGGCCCUCACUUGCCUGAUCAUGGCAAAUAUUACAAAUGCAACCAGCAUGAGUGAUCGCCUCAACAAUAAUAUGAAACCAUGCUACGAUCUUGCAACAAGACUUGAAGCUAGUGGAGGCCUAACGGAGUGCUGGACCACGUUAAUGGAGCUGAAAUCAUACUCAAAUGAGAUCGUUAUAUUCUUCUUUAAUAGCUAGGCUGAUAUUAGCCCUGACUGUUGCCACGCCAUUGAUAUCAUCACCUAUAAUUGCUGGCUUGCAAUGCUCACCUCUCUCGGAUUCACUGCUGAAGAAGGAAACAUACUGAGAGGCUAUUGUGAUACAUUUUCUGCUCCUUCUCCAGGUGGCCUUGCGGUGAUAUAUCAACCUCAAAUUUCCAAGGUUUUGACUUAGACAAGGUGCAUUUAUAGCACUUCUAUUUCUACCGUGUUAAUUUAGCUGAUGCAAUUUUAAUAAUUAAAAAAGUUUUUUUGAUUUUAGCUUUACUUUAUUUUUUUCAUCUUUUUUGGAAGUCUUGCCUCUUAAUCAAAUAGAAUAAAUCAUUAAAAGUAGAAUGAGGAAAAAAAGAGAAUAAUAAAUUCUUUUUUCAAAGUUGCGUGAAGUGCGAUUCUAUUUCCUAGUUUUAAGAUAAAAUUUAAGAUAUUUAAUAUUAUUUAUUUAUAAUUUUCAACUAUUUAUAUUGAUACCAAUAUUAUAAAUCUAUAAAACACUCCUCCACUCUUAGUCUCCAACAACCAUGUUAUGUAUAUAUAUAUAUUUGGUUGUUUCUUUCGUGGUUGAAAGUUUUCAUAUAAAUUUAUAAAAUGUGAAAGUCUUGAGUGAUACUGAUAUCAUGCCACCAUAUCGUCACCUUACCAUCCAAUUGGAUGACACCACAUAUACACUUAUCACUAAAUUUAAAAUAACCAUAGUACAUUACGUAUAUGCAUGUGGUGGUAUGUAAUUAGAUGAUGAUGUGAUGAUGUGGUGGAGUCCCUACCAUCUAAGACUUUCUCAACUUCUAUUGAGGCCACAACACUCACAAAAUUUUGGUCAAAUACUAUGUUUUUAAGUCCCUCAAAUUAGUACGAAUGAGCAUUUGGUCCAAUAGGAGAAGUUUUGCACUUAUAAUAUUGAGUGUAAGGAUUCGAGCCUCCAUCAGAGCAUUAUGGAAGUUAGUUUCAGUACUCUCUCAAUUAUCAACUAAUUGAGUGAAGAUAAUUUCUCUCUUACGAAAUGUGAGUGGAGCAUUAUAUUAUUUGAUACAAUUGUAAAUAUUGUAAUUGUAAUAUCUGAUGUAUUGUAAUUGUAAUGUCUGAUGUAAUAUCAGUAACAAUCUGUAUAUAACAGAAUUAAAAAAAAAAGUCCUUCAAAUUUGUAAAAUAAUUUCUCAUUUACUUAUUUCAAUAAUUUCUUUAUUAUUUAGACGAGUGAAGUUGCAUAAGACCCCUCAUCAUAAUUUAUCAUUUAUUUAUUAAAAAAAAUCUAAGAAAGUUAGGUUAGAGGGGGUCAACGGUUUGCCGUUGCCACAAGCCGGUGGGUUAAAUUUAUAGCCAGCACAAAUGCAGAAGGUAGCCCAAGGAUUUAAUGCGAUGUCUAAUGUUGUAAAUGAUUCUGUGUAAAAUUAAACUACUGCACGAUAUCUAUAAUAAAAUGAUUCUGUGUAAAAUUAAAGUGCUGGUUCCAUAAUUUCUAUGCCUUUGACGAAUUUUUGCAUCUCGCCACACUGUCUUUUGGGGAAAUAGAAAAGCUCGGUAAUUGAAGUGAUAUGUAUUGGAAAAAAAACAAAAGAAAAAAAUAUUAUGUUAAUUUCCCACUUCCAGAGGCAAUUCCUCGGAUACCAUAAUAUUUCUAUAAAGAGAAAUCAUGUAAAUAACAGAUUAGUCGAUAGCUUGUAAUUUUCGCGUGGUAAAAAUUAAUACAAGCUUUUAUGAUAAAUGUAAAUAAUAAGGUUAUGGUUAUGUUGGAGUUGAUGUAUGAUGGAGUACGAAUCUCAGUCACACACGCAAAGUGAUAAAUAAUAAAAAAAAAUUAUAACUUUAAUCGUGUGAUUAUGAAAAAAUAUUAUACCUUAGAGCAGUUCCAAUAUAAUCGAACCCAAAUAAUAAAUACGUAACAAAUGUAAGUAAUAAUACAAGCACACAUGUCUUAUGUAAUUAAUAAAUGUAAUAUUAGGAAAUUCUUAGUAACUCUAACAAAUUAAAAAAGCCUAAAAUCAAUCCCCAAAAUCCCUUAAUAACCCAAUCAAAAGAAAUGACACUUCUUAUUUUCUUACUAACAAUGACCAUAACUAUUAAUAAAGAGAAUCCGACGGGUUACACAGCUAGCCCUGCAACCUACUUAAAAGUCAAUGAUCAAUCCUUGAUUAGUAAUUAUAUUUACGUACAAGAAUGAAUAUCAACAUGCAGCUGAUAGGACUAGCAAAGUCAGUGAGUUGGAUGUCAAACUUUUCAAGAUUCAAUAAUUUAGAGCAGGUGAUAAUGCAAGCAUGAUGAUCUUCAUUCUUCUACAUAAAAGAUUUCUUUAUCUUACAUUUAAUGUAAGAUACAUCCCCUCACAAAUUGAGCUGGACACUAGGGCGGCAAAGCUAUCGACUGAUUCAAGUAUUGAUGUCUGGAUUAAUACACCGAAAAAAAAUAAUAAUUUGAUUUCUUCUUCCGUUGAAUAUACCUUCCCAUGCAGUAUCUGUUUAGAUGACUACUUGAUUCGCUACAGAAUUUCAAAGUAUCUACCUACAGAAAAGAAUAUGAUGAUGGCUUAGAAUAUCGAGUAAACAUUUGAUACGUGUCAUCAAGAAAGUAAUCUUUCUGCCCCAAAUUCCAGAGCCCGUACUGGCAAUCGGAGCGAGAGAAGAGAUGGGAAAAGUUGGUUUAGCGCCAGUUAUUGGGAUGGUGAUGGCAGAGUGCGCUCAAGUUGGGCUGAUGUUUGCCGGCAAAGCAGCCAUGUCUGAUGGGAUGAGCAACCUGGUCUUCGUUUUUUACUCCAAAGCAUUCGCCUCUCUCGUUCUCCUCCCCGCUUCACUUCUCUUCCA